GUGUGUCUGUGUCUGUGUGUGUGUGUGUGUGUGUGUGUGUGUCUGUCUGUCCUUUAUACUGCUGGUGAUGGCUGUGCUGAUGAGGUGCAGGUGUGUGUGAUUAGUACUCUGGUGAGGGAGUGCGCUGUGAUUGGGUGAUGGUGGAGCCUGCCCAGAUAGCAAGAUGACAUUGAUUCAAUGUUGAAAUUCCAUCAGAAUCAUCAUUUUGGUUGAGAUUGAAAAUUCAGUGCUAAAUAAUAUUGAAUCAAAGUUGAAAUUUCAAUGCUUUCCAGUGUUGAAAAAAGACAACAUUGAAUCAACGUUGAUAUUUCAAUGCUUUUCGGGUUGAAAAAUAUGAACAUUGAAUCAAUGUUGAUUUUUGGUCAGCUUCAUUUCUCCAGUGGUGGAACUAUGUCAAUCCAUCUGUCCCCUCAUUCAACACUUUAUUCACAUUAGCAUUCAUGCUCCUCAUGACCCUUAUCUCUAGUCCCACAAAAAUAAAUAAAUAAAUAAAUAAAUAAAAAUCCUGCCAACUGAAGUGUGUAGAUAAACUCCAACCAGUUGGAAGUCAGUGAGAUGAAUCAGCUGGACAUUAUUAUUAUUAUAAUAACGUUAAACUCUUUCAACUUCACUAAAUUCACAACUACUCAAAACACCUCACCUGCACUUUAAGGAUCCCGCGUCAGACGUUUUUCUGACGUCACGACGCACGAGCGUCUUGAACUUUCUGCUCGAAUUGAUUUUCUCGGAUUGAAAGGUAGGUUGAACUUGGAAAUUUGUUUUACUUUAUAUAUUGGAUAAUGCAGCGUUUGAACGUGUGUUUUACAGUUAAUUAACGUUGUUUGUGAACAUGAAUACUAACGGAAUCAUAAUUAAUCGAAUUUAAAAUGAAUUCCUCCUUUACCGUGUAUGUGGGAAGUGCGCGUGGUGCGGGAGAAAACGCCCGAGGCUGUGGGGAUUCCUGCAUUAUUAUAUUGAUUCAAGUUUUUCAAUUAAUAUUUGUCUGUUCUUUUGUCUUUGACAUGUAAGCUCUGAUUUCAUGUAUAUGUUUGUCCAAAAUGAUGAUCCAAAUCUGUAAGUAAAGACAUUGUGAGCUAACGUUACAUUUGCCUAACUUGUUGUUUUGCUUCAUCCAGGGAAAAAUGUUAGGAUUUUUUUAGUAUAAAUCAUGAUCAUGAUUUUUUUUUUUUUAGUAGUAGUCGUAGAAAUAGUAGAUAAUAGCAUUUUGCACAACUAAUUGAUUGCCCUAGCAAACAACUUUCGACCUAAUAAAUGCUGUAAAAAUGUUUCUCCUCUUAGGACCUAAAGUUUUUCAAUGUUUUUGGAUGUCUGAGGACACUUUGCAAUACUUGGAAAAAAAGACACAUCUGAAUGGCCUGAAGACUGAAAACAUUCACCUGAGAAGAGUGUGUCCUGUAGGCCCUUUUGUCUUGAAAGUCCUGAAGACCUCAUCAACGAGUACCUUGAUAUCCAGACAGAUGAUUGUGACGGUGACUCUGAGCAGCUCUUCGUGGUGGUGUUCAUUAUUCUGAAGGAUGGGGAGAACUUAAUGAACCGCCUGCUGACAUUGACAUUGUGAUUGAGGGAGUUAAAGUUUUGAAUCAACUCACUUCAGUCACAUCAGCGUGUGCCCUGCUUCCUGGAUGCCUUACAACAAGUGAGGGCUGAAAAAAAGGAGGGCUCAAAGUUUGUAUUUGCUGUUUCUGCAAAACUGGCUCCGAUAUGCUCCUGAUCAGCUUGCGGGCGUUGCUCGUGGUGGAAAUCCCUGAGUUCAUCAGAGUAUCAAUUUAAUGAAUAAGGACAUACUUUUUGCAUUAGAAGAGUAGCUUGAAAAGCUUCAAGUCCUGCACAGUGAACUGUGGUAGUGUUUCAGUCUGUAGUACUGUUUCUGUCUUCGUUGGUGAGUUUCCAUGUGUAUUUACUUCCAUUUUACAGAUGCAGGUUGCAUUUAUGUUGUCACUGUUUUCCAGGCUCUUUUUCCAAUGACUAAAAUGCAUGUUUAAACUGUUUUAACUUAAAGUAACUUGCACUGACAUCUUAAAAUUUGUCUGUGCCAUUGUUUUGUCUCAAGAUGAAUGCCAAUAAUGUAUUUUUUUUUUUUUUUUUACUACUUAACCCCUUUCACAGACAAGGCUUUAACCUAGUCCCAGACUAAAAUGCAGGUCUGAGCUGUUUUAACUGAAAACAUAUCGUAAUAUGUCACUGCCAUUGUUUUGUCUCAAGAUAAACACCAGUAGUGAUUGUUUUCUAAGGCAUGUCUAUACAAGUUACUGAAAUAAUUGAACUAAGGUCUGAUCCUGGCUUAGCCUUAGCCCUGUCUGUGAAACCAGGUCUAUUUGUUAGUCACCACGAAAUGCCAUUUUUACAGCCACUUUUUUUUUUUCUGUUCAAACAGUGUGGUUAUAAAUGAAUACAUUUGUAUGUAGACUGAAGGAAGUUGUGAAUUUUUCAUUAAAACCAUA